rnacentral:sRNA from 1 species
GCUGGGUGUGGUGGCACAUGCCUGUAAUCCCAGUGGCUCAGGAGGCUGAGGCAGGAGGAUCAUGAGUUUAAAGCCAGCCUCAGUAAAAGUGAGGCCCUAUGCAACUCAGUGAGACCCUGUCUCUA